GACGAACGCUGGCGGCGUGCCUAAUACAUGCAAGUCGAACGAACUCUGGUAUUGAUUGGUGCUUGCAUCAUGAUUUACAUUUGAGUGAGUGGCGAACUGGUGAGUAACACGUGGGAAACCUGCCCAGAAGCGGGGGAUAACACCUGGAAACAGAUGCUAAUACCGCAUAACAACUUGGACCGCAUGGUCCGAGCUUGAAAGAUGGCUUCGGCUAUCACUUUUGGAUGGUCCCGCGGCGUAUUAGCUAGAUGGUGGGGUAACGGCUCACCAUGGCAAUGAUACGUAGCCGACCUGAGAGGGUAAUCGGCCACAUUGGGACUGAGACACGGCCCAAACUCCUACGGGAGGCAGCAGUAGGGAAUCUUCCACAAUGGACGAAAGUCUGAUGGAGCAACGCCGCGUGAGUGAAGAAGGGUUUCGGCUCGUAAAACUCUGUUGUUAAAGAAGAACAUAUCUGAGAGUAACUGUUCAGGUAUUGACGGUAUUUAACCAGAAAGCCACGGCUAACUACGUGCCAGCAGCCGCGGUAAUACGUAGGUGGCAAGCGUUGUCCGGAUUUAUUGGGCGUAAAGCGAGCGCAGGCGGUUUUUUAAGUCUGAUGUGAAAGCCUUCGGCUCAACCGAAGAAGUGCAUCGGAAACUGGGAAACUUGAGUGCAGAAGAGGACAGUGGAACUCCAUGUGUAGCGGUGAAAUGCGUAGAUAUAUGGAAGAACACCAGUGGCGAAGGCGGCUGUCUGGUCUGUAACUGACGCUGAGGCUCGAAAGUAUGGGUAGCAAACAGGAUUAGAUACCCUGGUAGUCCAUACCGUAAACGAUGAAUGCUAAGUGUUGGAGGGUUUCCGCCCUUCAGUGCUGCAGCUAACGCAUUAAGCAUUCCGCCUGGGGAGUACGGCCGCAAGGCUGAAACUCAAAGGAAUUGACGGGGGCCCGCACAAGCGGUGGAGCAUGUGGUUUAAUUCGAAGCUACGCGAAGAACCUUACCAGGUCUUGACAUACUAUGCAAAUCUAAGAGAUUAGACGUUCCCCUCGGGGACAUGGAUACAGGUGGUGCAUGGUUGUCGUCAGCUCGUGUCGUGAGAUGUUGGGUUAAGUCCCGCAACGAGCGCAACCCUUAUUAUCAGUUGCCAGCAUUAAGUUGGGCACUCUGGUGAGACUGCCGGUGACAAACCGGAGGAAGGUGGGGAUGACGUCAAAUCAUCAUGCCCCUUAUGACCUGGGCUACACACGUGCUACAAUGGAUGGUACAACGAGUUGCGAACUCGCGAGAGUAAGCUAAUCUCUUAAAGCCAUUCUCAGUUCGGAUUGUAGGCUGCAACUCGCCUACAUGAAGUCGGAAUCGCUAGUAAUCGCGGAUCAGCAUGCCGCGGUGAAUACGUUCCCGGGCCUUGUACACACCGCCCGUCACACCAUGAGAGUUUGUAACACCCAAAGUCGGUGGGGUAACCUUUUAGGAACCAGCCGCCUAAGGUGGGACAGAUGAUUAGGGUG
rnacentral:rRNA from 1 species